rnacentral:misc_RNA from 1 species
GCGAGUCCUGGUAUCGCGAUUACCUGAUCGGUUUCGAGGUAGAAUGUUCGGACCUUGCAGCUUUCCACAAACGACGUCUCUUCGAGCCUCUGCACUGCCUGAUUUCCGCCGACGAAACCCUCCGGGAUGUCGGACGGAUCCGUAUCCUUGAGAUCGGAGUCAAGACAGGAGAAAACAUAGCGUUUUAUCCCGAUGACUGCCACUUGGUGGGGGUGGAUUUGAACAAGAGAUUAGCCGACCACCUCUUCCACGAUGAGAACGCCUGGCGUUUCCGACACAUAUUCGUAGAACAGACGAUCGUUGGAGAUGGAAGUCGUCUGGGACAAACCAUACCCUCGGGGAGUGUCGACGCGGUUGUCACAACCAGGACUUUGUGCUCCGUAGAAUCACCCGCGGCUGUUCUUCGUGAAAUUCGACGGGUUCUCGUACAGGGGGGGACGUAUUUUUUUAUGGAA